CUGGCCCUGAGGCCCGCUUCAUCCCCUGCCCCUUGGCCUCAGCACUUCCGUCACACCUGCCCAGGAGGCCAUUCAGGAAAUCCACCAGCCUAGACAGGGUUGGACAGUGUGGGGAGAGGACACUUCAGCUACUCCCCUCUGAGGCCAGUGUCAACCUGGGUGGACGAGACCUCCUCCUCCUCCUGCCCUGCUCCUCCUCUCCUCCUCCUCUCCUUCCUCCCCCUCCUUCUCCUCCUCGUCCGCCUCCUCCUCUCCUCCUUCUCUUUCUCCUCCUCUCCCUCCUCCCCCUCCCUGCUUCUUCUGUAGUGAAUAGCAUCCCCUCAAAACCCAUGUCCUGCUGGAACCUGUGAAUGUGGCAGUCUGGAAAGGGGGUCUUUGCAGAUGUCAGGAAGUUAAGAUGCUCUAAAUCCAGCCUAAAUGCACCCAAAUCCACGGGGCUCUAAAUCCACUAACUAGCGUCCUUACAAUGAGAGAGAGAUUUGGGGACAAAGAGUGAGGAGGCCACGUGAAGGAGAGGCAGAGAUCGGGGCAAUACAGCCAUGAGCCAAGGCACACCUGGGACCAAUGGGAACUGGAAGAGGCAGGACGGGUCCCCGAGCCUUGGAAGGGAGGGCGGCCCUGCCAACAGCUCGACUGUGGACUCCUGGCCUGCAGAACCGUGAAAAACAGGCAGGAGGUAUCCAGGGCCCCAAGAGAGCCACAGACAGAGCCACCAGGCCCAGGUACACAGCCCAAGGGGCCCUGGAGAAGGACCCCCAGGGGCACCGAAGCAGAAGCCCAUGGAGUACCCCAAGGAGGGAAGAGAAGAAUCCGGAAACAAAGCCUCGGGGAAGCUCUCUUGUGGUGCCACGAGGGCAG
rnacentral:lncRNA from 10 species